CAGAUGAUGAACUUAUUGACUUAUUAACAGGGGACAGAGACUGUGUGCUAAUUGUCACAUUCUGAUUUG
rnacentral:snoRNA from 1 species